AUGCGGAGGGGGCAAGCGUUGUUCGGAAUUACUGGGCGUAAAGGGCGCGUAGGCGGAUUAUCAAGUCAGAGGUGAAAGCCCUGGGCUCAACCUGGGAACUGCCUUUGAAACUGAUAGUCUUGAGGCCGGAAGAGGAUGGCGGAAUUCCCAGUGUAGAGGUGAAAUUCGUAGAUAUUGGGAAGAACACCAGUGGCGAAGGCGGCCAUCUGGUCCGGUUCUGACGCUGAGGCGCGAAAGCGUGGGGAGCAAACAGGAUUAGAAACCCCGGUAGUCC
rnacentral:rRNA from 1 species